rnacentral:rRNA from 1 species
ACUCAAAUGAAUUGACGGGGACCCGCACAACCGGUGGAGCGUGUGGUUCAAUUCGAGACAAAGCGAAGCACCUUACCAGGGUUUGACAUGAUACCGUUUUAUACUUUUGGAAACAUUAGUAGAUCUCGCAAGAGAUGGUACCACAGGUGUUGCAUGGCUGUCGUCAGCUCGUGCCGUGAGGUGUUCCCUUAAGUGGGGAAACGAGCGCAACCCGCAUCUAAUGUUACAUAUUCAUUAGAGACUGCUCCGAUUUAUCGGGGAGGAAGGAGCGGAAGACGUCAAGUCCGCACGGCCCUUAUACCCUGGGUCACACACACCCUACAAUGGCGAAAAACAACGUGCUGCAAGCCGGCAACGGCAAGCUAAUCACUGAAAUUUCGCCUCAGUUCAGAUUGGGGUCUGCAACCCGACCCCAUGAAGUCGGAAUCGGUAGUAAUCGCGGAUCAGCAGGCCGCGGUGAAUACGUUCUCGGGUCUUGUACACACCGCCCGU